GAUGGGAGCUUGCUCCCUGAUGUUAGCGGCGGACGGGUGAGUAACACGUGGGUAACCUGCCUGUAAGACUGGGAUAACUCCGGGAAACCGGGGCUAAUACCGGAUGGUUGUUUGAACCGCAUGGUUCAGACAUAAAAGGUGGCUUCGGCUACCACUUACAGAUGGACCCGCGGCGCAUUAGCUAGUUGGUGAGGUAACGGCUCACCAAGGCAACGAUGCGUAGCCGACCUGAGAGGGUGAUCGGCCACACUGGGACUGAGACACGGCCCAGACUCCUACGGGAGGCAGCAGUAGGGAAUCUUCCGCAAUGGACGAAAGUCUGACGGAGCAACGCCGCGUGAGUGAUGAAGGUUUUCGGAUCGUAAAGCUCUGUUGUUAGGGAAGAACAAGUGCCGUUCAAAUAGGGCGGCACCUUGACGGUACCUAACCAGAAAGCCACGGCUAACUACGUGCCAGCAGCCGCGGUAAUACGUAGGUGGCAAGCGUUGUCCGGAAUUAUUGGGCGUAAAGGGCUCGCAGGCGGUUUCUUAAGUCUGAUGUGAAAGCCCCCGGCUCAACCGGGGAGGGUCAUUGGAAACUGGGGAACUUGAGUGCAGAAGAGGAGAGUGGAAUUCCACGUGUAGCGGUGAAAUGCGUAGAGAUGUGGAGGAACACCAGUGGCGAAGGCGACUCUCUGGUCUGUAACUGACGCUGAGGAGCGAAAGCGUGGGGAGCGAACAGGAUUAGAUACCCUGGUAGUCCACGCCGUAAACGAUGAGUGCUAAGUGUUAGGGGGUUUCCGCCCCUUAGUGCUGCAGCUAACGCAUUAAGCACUCCGCC
rnacentral:rRNA from 1 species